UCGGGUUUUGUUACUGGUGGAUCUGCUCUAUUGCAUGGUGCUACUCAGACAAGUGCCUCACCCUGGUCUUCAGCAUCAAUGAUAUUUCCUCCAGCCCUAGGCAUGCCUUUAAAUGCUGAAUGGAAUGGGUAUCAGCUCUUUUGAGAAUUGACAAUACGCUUGCUUUGCUAUUUCAUAGCUGCAUGAUCAAGUUGUGGAAAAGUUUACUUGCAUACCAUCUCCAAGGAUUUGGCACAUCUAAUAGUUUCACUUUGGUUCUUCAGCAGUUUCUUUCGAAAUUACUCAUUACACUUCUAGGGCGAGUACGAACUACAGAAAGUUUUUGUUUUUGGUUAAGUUAAAAUAUGCAUUUAUCGGAAUCAUGGAAGUUCAAGUUCAUGUUUCGAGAUUCUACAAGACUAAUUUUAUUGUUUUAUCUAUUUAUUAUGAA